rnacentral:precursor_RNA from 12 species
CUCGGGCAUUUCGCUUUCCAAAUGCCUGGCAGUGCAGAGGGUGGUGAGCAUGCUGUGGCCUCUCAAGUAUCUCACCUUUCUCUGACUGUCCAGCAUCUGGGACUCUGCUUCAACCCAGCC